AUCCAUUAAACUUAUGAGUAAGGAAAAUAACAAUUUGAGAUGACGCCAGAAUCUUCACUGCUAAUGUGAGAUGAAUUUGUGACUGGAUACAGGUUGCCCCUAAGCUGAUCUGCCUACUUGGUAUCAUGCCUGGAGUCACGAUCUGCACGUCCC
ensembl:snRNA U12 U12 minor spliceosomal RNA